rnacentral:rRNA from 1 species
AACGCUAGCGGCAGGCCUAAUACAUGCAAGUCGGACGGGAUCCAUCGGAGAGCUUGCUCGAAGAUGGUGAGAGUGGCGCACGGGUGCGUAACGCGUGAGCAACCUACCUCUAUCAGGGGGAUAGCCUCUCGAAAGAGAGAUUAACACCGCAUAACAUCAACAGUUCGCAUGUUCGGUUGAUUAAAUAUUUAUAGGAUAGAGAUGGGCUCGCGUGACAUUAGCUAGUUGGUAGGGUAACGGCCUACCAAGGCGACGAUGUCUAGGGGCUCUGAGAGGAGAAUCCCCCACACUGGUACUGAGACACGGACCAGACUCCUACGGGAGGCAGCAGUAAGGAAUAUUGGUCAAUGGGCGGAAGCCUGAACCAGCCAUGCCGCGUGCAGGAUGACUGCCCUAUGGGUUGUAAACUGCUUUUGUCCAGGAAUAAACCUAAAUACGUGUAUUUAGCUGAAUGUACUGGAAGAAUAAGGAUCGGCUAACUCCGUGCCAGCAGCCGCGGUAAUACGGAGGAUCCGAGCGUUAUCCGGAUUUAUUGGGUUUAAAGGGUGCGUAGGCGGCCUAUUAAGUCAGGGGUGAAAUACGGUGGCUCAACCAUCGCAGUGCCUUUGAUACUGAUGGGCUUGAAUCCAUUUGAAGUGGGCGGAAUAAGACAAGUAGCGGUGAAAUGCAUAGAUAUGUCUUAGAACUCCGAUUGCGAAGGCAGCUCACUAAGCUGGUAUUGACGCUGAUGCACGAAAGCGUGGGGAUCGAACAGGAUUAGAUACCCUGGUAGUCCACGCCCUAAACGAUGAUAACUCGAUGUUGGCGAUAGACAGCCAGCGUCCCAGCGAAAGCGUUAAGU